GUGGGGAAUAUUGGACAAUGGGCGAAAGCCUGAUCCAGCCAUGCCGCGUGAGUGAUGAAGGCCUUAGGGUUGUAAAGCUCUUUCAGUAGGGAAGAUAAUGACGGUACCUACAGAAGAAGCCCCGGCUAACUUCGUGCCAGCAGCCGCGGUAAUACGAAGGGGGCUAGCGUUGUUCGGAUUUACUGGGCGUAAAGCGCACGUAGGCGGAUUGGUCAGUUAGGGGUGAAAUCCCAGAGCUCAACUCUGGAACUGCCCUUAAUACUGCCAAUCUAGAGUCCGGAAGAGGUGAGUGGAACUCCUAGUGUAGAGGUGGAAUUCGUAGAUAUUAGGAAGAACACCAGUGGCGAAGGCGGCUCACUGGUCCGGUACUGACGCUGAGGUGCGAAAGCGUGGGGAGCAAACAGGAUUAGAUACCCGUGUAGUCC
rnacentral:rRNA from 1 species